CAGCACCGUUCAAGGCCUGUCCCAGUUGCAGCCUCUCUGGCAGGUCAGGUACCGGUGCCAGAUCCAAGGCUGGGCACAACCAGGGCUAACCCCCCCAAACCUUGGGGUUCUGCCUGUAUUUACCCAGCUACAGUC